rnacentral:Y_RNA from 1 species
AUCUAGGCUGAAGGUAGUGAGUUACCUCAAUUGAUUGUUCACAGAUCAAACUCAAUUCCUUAUUCCAUUCUUUCCCUCCUUCUCACUACUGCACUUGACUCGUCUUAA